UAGAGUUUAUGGGGAAUACCUUGGCAUUCAGAAGCGACGAAGGACGUGGUUACCGACGAAACACUCCCGGGGAGCUGGAAACAAGCUAUGAUCCGGAGGAUUCCGAAUAAGGAAACUUUUUAUACUACUUAUUGAAUUCAUAGAUAAGCAAGAGCAAACCUAGGGAACUGAAACAUCUUAGUACCUAGAGGAAAAGAAAGUAAAAAACGAUUCCCUUAGUAGCGGCGAGCGAAACGGGAGAAGCCUAAACUUAAUUACUUAUUUAUUUAAAUAGAUUGAGGGUAGUGGGACGAUUGUUAAUAGAUUAGCACAGUUAAACGAAUAAGUUGGAAUACUUAACCAAAGAAAGUGAUAGUCUUGUAGUUGAAAACUAAAAUAAUCUCAAAUCAGAUCCCAAGUAGCAUGGAACACGUGAAAUUCCGUGUGAAUCUGCGAGGACCACCUCGUAAGGCUAAAUAUUACUGGAUGACCGAUAGUGAAACAGUACCGUGAGGGAAAGGUGAAAAGAACCCCGGGAGGGGAGUGAAAAGAACAUGAAACCAUAAACUUACAACCAGUAGGAGGACGACUAAAACGUCUGACUGCGUGCCUGUUGAAGAAUGAGCCGGCGACUUAUAGGUAGUGGCAGGGUAAGGCAGAGAAUGCUGGAGCCAUAGUGAAAGCGAGCCUGAAUAGGGCAUAUGUCACUGGUUAUAGACCCGAACCCGGAUGAUCUAACCAUGGUCAGGUUGAAGCUUAGGUAAUACUAAGUGGAGGACCCAACCGACUGAUGUUGAAAAAUCAGCGGAUGAAUUGUGGUUAGGGGUGAAAUGCCAAUCGAAUUCGGAGCUAGCUGGUUCUCCUCGAAAUGCGUUUUGGCGCAGCGAUAAAUCUUAUAACUUAGGGGUAAAGCACUGUUACGUAUGCGGGCUGGUAAUUCGGUACCAAAUCGUUGCAAACUAAGAAUACUAAGUGUACAGUUUAUCAGUGAGACUGUGGGGGAUAAGCUCCAUUGUCAAGAGGGAAACAGCCCAGAGCACCAGUUAAGGCCCCUAAAUAAUUACUAAGUGAUAAAGGAAGUGGGAUUGCGAAAACAAUCAGGAGGUUUGCCUAGAAGCAGCAAUCCUUUAAAGAGUGCGUAAUAGCUCACUGAUCGAGUAAACCUGCGCCGAAAAUGUACGGGACUAAGUAAUUUGCCGAAACUGUGCGAUAUAUUACAAAUAUAUCGGUAGAGGAGCGUUCUGUUGUAGAUUGAAGUAUUAGCGUAAGCGGAUAUGGACGAAGCAGAAGUGAGAAUGUCGGCUUGAGUAACGAAAAUAUAGGUGAGAAUCCUAUACCCCGAAAACCCAAGGUUUCCUCCGGAAGGCUCGUCCGCGGAGGGUAAGUCAGGACCUAAGGCAAGGCUGAAAAGCGUAGUCGAUGGACAACGGGUUAAUAUUCCCGUACCAUUAUUUAUUGAUAACGAGGGACGAAGAAGGCUAAGCUGGCCGGAUGUUGGUUACCGGUUUAAGCGUUCGAGAUGAUGAGAAACGGAGAAAACGUUUUGAGUUGAGGCGUGAUGACGAGAUGCUACGGCAUUGAAGCAGUGUAUGUCAGACUUCCAAGAAAAGCUCGGACUGUCAUAAAUAAAUAAUGCCUGUACCAUAACCGACACAGGUGGGUAGGUAGAGUAUACUAAGGGGCGCGAGAUAACUCUCUCUAAGGAACUCGGCAAAAUGACUCCGUAACUUCGGGAGAAGGAGUGCCUUAUUUAUAAGGUUGCAAUAACAAGAUCCAAGCAACUGUUUACCAAAAACACAGGUCUCCGCUAAGUCGUAAGACGAUGUAUGGGGGCUGACGCCUGCCCAGUGCCAGAAGGUUAAAGAAGUUGGUUAGCAUUAGCGAAGCUGAUAACUGAAGCCCUGGUGAACGGCGGCCGUAACAAUAACGGUCCUAAGGUAGCGAAAUUCCUUGUCGGGU
rnacentral:rRNA from 1 species